GAUGAAGAACGCAUCGAAAUGCGAUAAGUAAUGUGAAUUGCAGAAUUCAGUGAAUCAUCGAAUCUUUGAACGCACAUUGCGCCCCCUGGUAUUCCGGGGGGCAUGCCUGUCCGAGCGUCAUUACAACCCUCAAGCUCAGCUUGGUGUUGGGCCCCGCCGCCCCGGCGGGCCCUAAAGUCAGUGGCGGUGCCGUCCGGCUCCGAGCGUAGUAAUUCUUCUCGCUCUGGAGGUCCGGUCGUGUGCUCGCCAGCAACCCCCAAUUUUUUUCAGGUUGACCUCGGAUCAGGUAGGGAUACCCGCUGAACUUAAGCAUAUCAUAAGCGGAGGA
rnacentral:misc_RNA from 1 species